rnacentral:tRNA from 1 species
GCGGAAGUAGCUCAGUUGAUUAGAGCAUCAGCCUUCCAAGCUGAGGGUCGCGGGUUUGAGUCCCGUUUUCCGCU